CAAUAGCGUAUAUUAAAGUUGUUGCAGUUAGAACGCUCGUAGUCGGAUUUCGGGGCGGGCCGACCGGUCUGCCGAUGGGUAUGCACUGGUCGGCGCGUCCUUCCUUCCGGAGACCGUCCCUACUCUUAACUGAGCGGGGGCGGGAGACGGGACUUUUACUUUGAAAAAAUCAGAGUGUUUCAAGCAGGCAGCUCGCUCUUGCAUGGAUUAGCAUGGGAUAAUGAAAUAGGACUUUGGUGCUAUUUUGUUGGUUUCGAACACCGAAGUAAUGAUGAGAAGGGACAGUCAGGGGCACUCGUAUUCCGCCGAGAGAGGUGAAAUUCUCAGACCAGCGGAAGACGAACCACUGCGAAAGCAUUUGCCAGGGAUGUUUNCACUGG
rnacentral:rRNA from 1 species